CGUGGUCUCUGCUGCCUUUUUCGUUUUGCUCCCUUUUGUGUUUGCUGCUCUGCUUCUGAGUGUUUCCUGUCCCUGAUGGCAGAGGCCACCCCUGUGCGUGUGGUGCCGCAGGGCCCAGUGCAACCCCCAUCCCCCAUUGUGGAGGGAAGCCGAAAAGCAGCUCCCUCCCCCCUCUCUGUCCCCGCCCAUGCUGAACCACCUCUGGUGGGGGGACAGGGCCAGCUGCCCACAACACAGAGAGAGGCCAGAGUGACUCACCUCCACUGAUGUCGGCGGCCAGGCCAUGGAUGGUGUUGUGCGCGAGCGGGCGGUGACAGCGAACAGGCUUGUAUCAUUCAUGUUAUAGGCGAAGUUCCAACAGAUCUCGAACACAUCCUACCCCCCUCCCUGGCCCUCGAACUGCCCUGCUGGUAUGGAGACCCUGAGUCCACCCCUCCUUCCGAGAGGGAUGAAUCAAGUGCCUGCCGGCAUGAUGGGAGCGGUUGCGAGGCGACCUGCAAGGCGAGUAGGUGGACAGAGCUCGAGGCAGGGGCCGCGCCCAGAUGACUGGGUCGGCACACUGGCUGUAACGCGCGUAUGCCGCUGCUUUGCACCAUGUGAGGGGUCUCUGUGGUGAGGCUGGGGGUAGUAGAGGGGCGCUCAGGUGGCGUUUUGCGGCAGAAUGGAGAUGAUAAAAGGAAUGUUGUGCUUGUCGAGUAAUGUUUGUGUGCCGUCUUUGUAAGUCUUUGACGUGCACCGCUCCUCUUCCUCUGUCCUUUAUUCGUCUGCGCAUCGCUUCGCCCUCAUGAGGCGCUGCGUCUCUGGUGCAUCAACGCAAUAAGAGACGAGUUGAAGAGGGUGACGGUGCUGGAGACAGGGAUAGCGCGGCUAAGCGAAGACGACGGCCACCGCACAGUUCAUAAUGCAGCGGGUCGUCGUGAUGUUGGCUGUAUUUGACGGCUGGCACUGCUCAUGACUCUCUUUUUGUUUUCCUUGCUUGUGCUCUCGCAUGUGUCAUUCCGUGUUGUCGGCUUCCUUUUUCGUUGUUGCUGCUGAUGUUUGUGUCCUUCGUCACGCGUGCUCUUUGUGCGUGCGUGUGUUCCUGGUUCUCCUCCUCUUCGCGAUGCAUGUGUACGCGUCUUGCUGGUCCUCUUCACCCAUCGCCUUUGCGUGUUUUGCGUUUGUUGCUUCCUUUUCUUGGUUGCUUCGAAAGGGAUUUGGUUUCUCCGUCAACUCCGCCUUUCUUCGCCCUCACUUACCUCUGGACCCUCGUUGAAGACACGCCUCUGCCGGCGCGUCUCUUUUUCUGCUCACUCGUGCAGGUUGGAUACCUGCUGAGUCUGCGCUGAGGAUCCUCUACGUUUGCAAGGGUGUGCUUGCGUUUGCCUCUUCUUGUAGUCAUGGAAGGCACAAGGUGAGAGGGCGACUAACAUAUUCGCAAACAGCGGCACAGAUGUCUUCUUACAACCCGCGUUCUCACAGGCGGAUGCCCUUGCCCACAGAUACGCGUGCAUGGGGAUGUGUUUGUGAGUGGACAGAGCAGCACACAUGAAACGUCAAUGAAGAAAGCAAAAAGAAAAACGACAUGUUCUUGUGCGCGCGCAGCCAUAAACUGUUUU
rnacentral:misc_RNA from 1 species